CUGCAGGGCUGCACUGGCACAUGCAAGUACAAGUACAAGUGUGAGGCUUUAUCCACAGACAAGUCAUCCACCUAUAGCAUGAAAACUGCAAAGAAGAUGCAAUUUUGCACAUCUCUUCUCCAAAGAGUGAAGCUGUUUACAUAAUCUCGUUCAGGUGUUUGAUGACAGAGACUGCAACCACUAUGGAAACAUUCUGUGAUGACGAUUCCUCGGUGGAUCUUUACUGUGAGCCAGCAGAGAAUACUCCAUCAACACUACGGUCUGACAGCAAGGGGGGCUGUCAACAGACUGAUGCAAGUGGUAAAGAGCCAAGCCCCACUGUGAAGAUGACAGCCAGUCAAGUCGGUCACAAGUCUGUCCACACAAGUGAGUGAAAGACAAUAAUUUUGAAAAACAAACAAAUGAAUCAGUAGGUUCAUUAAGUUCUUCAUGUAUGGACAAAUUUAACUCUAUGAAAUGUUACAAAAGAACGAAGUAGACACAACAUUAAAAAAAUAAAACACAAACCUCUAUGCUGAAAGACCAAAGACUUGACUUUAAAGCCUGUGCACACUCAUAGUCCUCUCACAGAGGUGAUUCAGGUUAUUUUGCUUGAUAUCUUAUUUUUAGGACAACAGGUGGUUUGUAUUGAUAUAAUCUUCCAUGCAUUACUAUUGCCAAAAGCUAUUGAAAUCAUUAUUGCUGAUCAAAUAUUCAGACAUAAUAUGAUAGUUUCCUGACAUAUUGUUAAUCAGAAUCACACAAGCCCUUCAGAAGUAAUCUG